CUAAGUUUGAUGGCGACCGGCGCACGGGUGAGUAACACGUAUCCAACCUGCCGAUGACUCGGGGAUAGCCUUUCGAAAGAAAGAUUAAUACCCGAUGGCAUAGUUCUUCCGCAUGGUGGAACUAUUAAAGAAAUUUCGGUCAUCGAUGGGGAUGCGUUCCAUUAGGUUGUUGGCGGGGGUAACGGGCCCACCAAGCCUUCGAUGGAUAGGGGUUCUGAGAGGAAGGUCCCCCACAUUGGAACUGAGACACGGUCCAAACUCCUACGGGAGGCAGCAUG
rnacentral:rRNA from 1 species